rnacentral:rRNA from 1 species
GAUGAACGCUAGCGGGAGGCCUAACACAUGCAAGCCGAGCGGUAGAGUUUCUUCGGAAACUUGAGAGCGGCGCACGGGUGCGUAACACGUGUGCAACCUACCUUUAUCUGGGGGAUAGCCUUUCGAAAGGAAGAUUAAUACCCCAUAAUAUAAUGAUUGGCAUCAAUUAUUAUUGAAAACUCCGGUGGAUAGAGAUGGGCACGCGCAAGAUUAGAUAGUUGGUGAGGUAACGGCUCACCAAGUCAAUGAUCUUUAGGGGUCCUGAGAGGGAGAUCCCCCACACUGGUACUGAGACACGGACCAGACUCCUACGGGAGGCAGCAGUGAGGAAUAUUGGACAAUGGGUGAGAGCCUGAUCCAGCCAUCCCGCGUGAAGGAUGACGGUCCUAUGGAUUGUAAACUUCUUUUGUACAGGGAUAAACCUACCCUCGUGAGGGUAGCUGAAGGUACUGUGCGAAUAAGCACCGGCUAACUCCGUG